AGAGUGAAGGGCCGGGAACAGUGGAGGGUGCGAGGAAGACAAUGGGGGAGGACCCUGAGGCGGCCUCUGUGAGCCGACAGGAACACGUGGUCGAUCAGAGAGAGACUCGAGGUUCGUGAACGGAUGGGGAGGACCCUGAAAAGCACUGUGGAAUACAGGUUUCUAGUAACUUCAAAAUCACAUCAUUUGGACUGGCAGGGUCUUUGUGACUUGUACCUUGUGCGGACCUCCUACUCAUCCUGUGACUAAGAACACUGAACUUCCUGGGGUUACAGCCCACAGGUCUCAGCCUCAUUUCAUCCAGCCCCUAUUCAAGAUGGAGUCGCUCUGGUUCAAAUGCCUCUGACACUAGUAAGGAUCACAGGUGGCAUCAACAGGUUUGGAGCAAACCUGAGUGUCUCCCGGUUGGUCACAUCUCAACUGACGAAAUCCACGACCAGCAGAGAGCAGCCUCCUUGCCCCCUGUGCUCACUGAGUCAUCCAGCCCAUUUUGACCAAGAUUAUGUGAGUUGCUGGAGCAGAGGUUGGUUGAGGGAGCUCCCACUGUAUGUAAUCACCGUGUCUUGCACAAAAUAAAUAGAAAACACAAGAAUACACUCUUAUGC
ensembl:lncRNA LINC03015 long intergenic non-protein coding RNA 3015